AGGCUUUGAUCCUGGCUCAGAACGAACGCUGGCGGCGUGGAUUAGGCAUGCAAGUCGAACGAGAAUCUGGAGGUUCAAGUUUUCGGACAAGAACUUUCGGAGGACAGUGGCGGAAGGGUGAGUACAACAUGGAUAAUCUACCUUCAAGUUGGGUAUAGCUCCUCGAAAGGGGAGAUAAUCCCGAAUGUGGUGAUCCGGCGCAUGUCGGAGAAACUAAAGGCGGGGACCGCAAGGCCUGUCGCUUGGAGAUAAGUCCGUGCACUAUCAGCUAGUUGGCGGGGUAACGGCCCACCAAGGCGAUAACGGUUAACUGGUCUGAGAGGAUGGUCAGCCACACUGGAACUAAGAUACUGCCCAAACUCCUACAAAAAGCUGCAGUCGAGAAUCAUUCGCAAUGGGCGCAAACCUGACAAUACGACGUCGCGCGGAGGAUGAAGGUCUUCGGAUUGUAAACUCCUGUCAUGUGGGAGAAAUGGCCGGGUGACGAAUAGUCAUUCGGAAUGAUAGUACCAUCAGGAGGAAGAGACGGCUACAU
rnacentral:rRNA from 1 species